GGUUAUAGACUUGAAGGUCCAAAGUUCUUUAUAGGCACUAGAGUUAAUAUAGGAAAAUUUAUUCUGCUAUUGGCAAUUUAUUAAAUAAGGAAAAAAAAUAGCGUCUUAAACUCGUACUGCUUCGCUUUCAUGUGAAAGACCUAACCCAUAUCUUUCCCAAUUCCUAGGACAUCACAUUGCAAUGAGUGACUCUUAACACUCAAAUCAAAAGGAAGAUAGAGAAGGACACAGGAAACAAACAGAGCUUUAAAUUCCAAGCCAUAUUUCCAGGUCUCAUUGUAAAGCUCCUAGAAAAUUUAGGCUUCUAAAAACCUAUGUUCAUCACCCAGAUCUUAGACUUAAUGGGAGCUAGUUCCCUGGAGGCAAAAGUAUUAGAGUAAUAACUGGCCAGGCAAAGACAGAAAAAAAAAUGGAUUAUCCCUUAGAAAUGAAUUUUAUCAUUAGCUACUAUGAAUACCUCAAAUUAUGACAGAUUCACAUGUAAGUGUGCCAAAGAAAAGUAGCUGUAAUCUAUAAUACACACAAUGUUUUAUUACCCAGGAGAAUCUAGGUACUAAUGUGAAUGGUAUUGCAUCUGUGAAAUCCUGAAACCCACAAAGGAUUUGAAGAUAUAAAGCCAAAUAAAACAUAAUACAGAAGGAAAUGAUUUUGAUUAUGUAACAUUUAUAUAUAGCAUCUCAUUUUACAAUUUUAAAUUGCUUUUUCAGUCAUUGGUUUAUUCUCCCUGCACACCUGGGGAGAAUGCCUGUGCUGUUAUCCUCUGUUCAUAGCUGAGGCAUCUGAGACUGAAAGAGGCAAGGGGUUUUGUCCAAAAGCACAAUAGGGACAGGGUGUGAAAUUGUUCAUUCAAUCAGAUGCCUAUUCAAUACUACUUUUGGCAAGGCAUCAACAUCUGUGUGGUGGCAGUGCACAAUCAUGGGUACCUUAUGUGUGGCCACUCUCUUGCAGCAACUUGAGUUCUGCUGGACUAGGCAGUGGUCUGUCAAUCAAAGCUGCCCUAGUGAGAAAGGACCAAAAUAUAAGGGAGGAGGAGGAAGUGAGAGUUUGCUAAGAUUCCUGGAGAUUCGAAGCCACUGAAGCUUGGGUCAGUUUUGACUAAAGGGGCCGUGGGUUGUGGGAAUAGCACAGAGACAUGAAGGUGGGGAAAUAAUUUAACACAGAAUAGGAGAAUGUUCCAACUGUAGCAGAGUAGUUAUUGGGAAAGGACCAGAGAGCAGAAAAGGAACAGGCUUUCCAAGUAAUUUAAAUGCCCAUAUAAAAUAUAUGAAUUUCAAGCCCAUGGAUGGGCCUCAGGGGCUGGACUAGACUAUCUCUGAUUUCUCUUGUUUUCUCAUUAUUCUAAUAGCGGUUACAUGCUCAUUCCACAAAUAUGUCAUUGCAUAUUAACUUUCUAAACUUCACGUCAAUCUAAAAAGAUAUGUAGUUUUAUUGUGUGUGUGUGUGCACAUGCACACGUGUUCACAGGUGCCUACAGAGGCCUGAAGAGAGCACUGGAUCAUCUGAAGCAGGGAUUACAGGUGUUGGAAGGGACCUCCACGAGAUCAUGGACCUAAUAACUAUGAGACAUGGGACUCGAAAGCCAGACUUCUGACUUCUCACUUGGAAAGGACAGGUGCAGAUUCUGGAGUGUGCAUGCAUUUAGGAUACCCAAGGAAUGGCACACCCCCUCCCCUAGCCAAGUAUCUUUCCAGAAGUAAAAUAAUGCUUUAACAUUCUAGGUAUUUUAUGUCUACAUCCAGCUCUAGGGUAAAAAGAAAGAGAAUUUUCACCCCCCCCCGCCUCUACAAUUACAAUGACAUUCUUGUGGAUAUUGCAUACAUUCUGAUCUCAGCCUAGUCUUUCUACUACUUCAGAAUCUUUCUCAAAACACUGGUCAUUCCAUUUGCACUAUAGUUCCUGUUCUUAGCACUGCAGUCGAAUCCAUUUAACCUCUGCCCAUCUCUGUUUAAAGUUUUACCCCUCAAAUCUCUCUCCUCUCCUCCCUUCCCCUCCCCCUCCCCUCCCUCUCUCCCUCCCUCCCCCCUCUCUCUCUGUCUCUGUGUCUCUGUGUCUCUGUUCCCUCCCACCCCCUUUCCUCCACCCCAGAUCUCAAGAUCUAGGGUCUUCUUCAGCAUUUUUACUGUUUAAUAAUUCAAAUUAAACAAGAGGAAUAUUAUCAUUAACCCACAAAUAUUUUUGAAUGAAAAUAUUGUUUAUGUAAAUCUUCCUACAAAGAAGAGAAGCUCCAAGGUUAUUUAGAUAACAUAAAAAUUAAAACACACACAAAAAUUACAUUUGUCAAAUAGGAUGCUUUUUACUGAUCUGAUUUAGGGAAAGAGUUAAAAAAAAAUCCUACCAAUAACCAGUGAGAAAAGCCUCUAGAACAAACAGGCAUAAAUAAUGGGCCAGACAACUAGGAAACUAUCCGAAUGCGGCCCUCUCCUUGCCUUUUUAUCCUCUAGUGAUGUGUUUGGUUCGGCUCAGAUCAUAUGACGUCAUCAAGAACAGUUAAGAGUUUUUCCAUGUUUCUUUUAGAGAAGUUAAGAGAGAGAAAGCAAAGUUCAUGCAGAAAGAUGAUUAAACUUCACCUAGGAAUUUACGUUUCCCCUUAAGAGAUGUGAAGAGCAUGCAUUAGGCCAUAAACUUGUACCCGAAUGCUAUCCAGUCUUAAAAGUGGCAUGACCCUGUCUUCCAAUUUCAAGAAGAGCAGUGGGGUAGGACACUGGCGGCCUACGUGUCACCAAGGAAGGUGAUGGAAUGAAUGCAUGAUGCUUGGGCUUGUAGAUCUGCAAAGCAGGGAACUCUUACUUUGAGAUAUUAGAAAAACAGAAAUUUGAGAGACUCAGAGGGAAUCAUGUAACCUAUUAUAAUCAUUUGUAUCUUUACAAAGGGAAAAAAACUACAAUACACACUUCAGGGGAUUUUGCAUAUUAGUGGAAGAAAGUGUUAAAGAUACAUAAGUGAAUCCCAUUGAAGGCAUAGAUUAGCAUUAAUAUCUUCUGACUAUUGCAAUAAAUUCUAUGUGGCUCUUUCUUCUCCUAAAAUGUUCAGCAAAAAGUACUGAAAUCCUUUAAGAUGGUUGAGGUAGAAACAUACUUGAAUUCACUUUAUUUUAAAACAGUGGCUGCAGAUAAUUCCCUUUACCAACAAGGCUCACUGCUCCAGGGCUCUGUUUCCAUGGAAUUUCUGAAAACUGACCAGGGUCUAAAAGCUGUACAUUUCAUCUUGCUUGUUGUCAAAGGUUAGUCUACGAGUCUCCAUAAAACUGGCACACCAGCCAACCAAAUCCUGGGGUGGGGGUGGGGGUCUCUGUAGGAAGCUGGUAUUCUUAUAAGUGAAUUGCUGAAUUACAGAAACUUCAGGUAACCUCCACAGCAAAGAUUGGUGGUGUUGCCUACAGAUAUUAGGAUCUUUUACAAAUCUUCAAAUUAGGCAAAUAAAUGCCCCUCAGAAAUCCAACCUAAAUUCCCAAGGAGGUAUGAGUGGGAUCAAGAUCAAGUGGCCCAGAAAGGGCUUUCUCCCUAAGGUUCAGGGCUGACAUUAGCUAGAGUGGACAGUCACAGGAAUCAUGCAAUUGUGGACUAAAUAGUUGUAAAGUGGACCUGACCCUUUAAACUUUGACCUUUUCAAAGCAAAAUGUAGAAAUAUUUUAAAAUCCAGGCUUGUUUUCUUCUUGUUUUUCCAAGAAGCUGAACACACACACAAAUGAGCUGUGAGUUGUGGGCCAACAUAUUUAUAAAACCUACCCAGAUUCCCAAGGUAUGGAGUCCUGCCUCCUCAUUCUUGCCUAGUCUCAUUGUGAAAUACAAGUGAAGGUAUCUUUGACCACAUAUUCUUUGUGUCACAUGGAAGAGAUGAGCAAACAGAUUACAGGGCUCCUUUCUGCACUUUUUUUACUGCACUGUCUUCCUGUGACCAUAGUUUGUGUUUCUUUGUUUUGGUACCGAGAAGGAAUAGGUUGAUGUUGGGAAAGGAGCUUUCAAAUGAUGAUAAAGGUUGCAGGAAGGCCUGCUUAAGUGUUUCUUUUGGUAUUUGCCUCAUUUUAAAAGGCUGUGACUAGGACUUCAUACCUGUCUAAUAAGCAUGCAUGGACCAUUUCGUGUUUGGUGACUGCUUUAUAGGCCCUCAUUAGUCCCCACAGUACCCCUUUAGGGUUGGGCAGGCAUUACCACCUACAGGUUACAUGUGAGGAAAUUUAAGACACAAAAGGAUUAUGUGAUUUGUACAGGGUCACCCGGCAUGUGACUCUAGCUAAUAAAAGAUGACUACAAACUCUUUCC